UGCGUAGGCGGAUUAAUAAGUCAGUGGUGAAAUCUCAUAGCUUAACUAUGAAACUGCCAUUGAUACUGCAGGUCUUGAGUAAGGUAGAAGUAGCUGGAAUAAGUAGUGUAGCGGUGAAAUGCAUAGAUAUUACUUAGAACACCAAUUGCGAAGGCAGGUUACUAUGUCUUAACUGACGCUGAUGGACGAAAGCGUGGGGAGCGAACAGGAUUAGAUCCCUGGUAGUCC
rnacentral:rRNA from 1 species